rnacentral:rRNA from 1 species
AGCGAACGCUGGCGGCAGGCCUAACACAUGCAAGUCGAACGAACCUUUCGGGGUUAGUGGCGGACGGGUGAGUAACACGUGGGAACGUGCCUUUAGGUUCGGAAUAACUCAGGGAAACUUGUGCUAAUACCGAAUGUGCCCUUCGGGGGAAAGAUUUAUCGCCUUUAGAGCGGCCCGCGUCUGAUUAGCUAGUUGGUUGAGGUAAUGGCUCACCAAGGCGACGAUCAGUAGCUGGUCUGAGAGGAUGAUCAGACACAUUGGGACUGAGACACGGCCCAAACUCCUACGGGAGGCAGCAGUGGGGAAUCUUGCGCAAUGGGCGAAAGCCUGACGCAGCCAUGCCGCGUGAAUGAUGAAGGUCUUAGGAUUGUAAAAUUCUUUCACCGGUGACGAUAAUGACGGUACCCGGAGAAGAAGCCCCGGCUAACUUCGUG